rnacentral:rRNA from 1 species
AGCCCAGCUUGCUGGGUGGAUGAGUGGCGAACGGGUGAGUAACACGUGAGUAACCUGCCCCCUUCUUUGGGAUAACGCCCGGAAACGGGUGCUAAUACUGGAUAUUCACUGAUCUUCGCAUGGGGGUUGGUGGAAAGGUUUUUUCUGGUGGGGGAUGGGCUCGCGGCCUAUCAGCUUGUUGGUGGGGUGAUGGCCUACCAAGGCUUUGACGGGUAGCCGGCCUGAGAGGGUGACCGGUCACAUUGGGACUGAGAUACGGCCCAGACUCCUACGGGAGGCAGCAGUUGGGAAUAUUGCACAAUGGGCGAAAGCCUGAUGCAGCGACGCCGCGUGAGGGAUGACGGCCUUCGGGUUGUAAACCUCUUUCGCUCAUGGUCAAGCCGCAGCUUUGGGUUGUGGUGAGGGUAGUGGGUAAAGAAGCGCCGGCUAACUACGUGCCAGCAGCCGCGGUAAUACGUAGGGCGCGAGCGUUGUCCGGAAUUAUUGGGCGUAAAGGGCUUGUAGGCGGUUGGUCGCGUCUGCCGUGAAAUCCUCUGGCUUAACUGGGGGCGUGCGGUGGGUACGGGCUGACUUGAGUGCGGUAGGGGAGACUGGAACUCCUGGUGUAGCGGUGGAAUGCGCAGAUAUCAGGAAGAACACCGGUGGCGAAGGCGGGUCUCUGGGCCGUUACUGACGCUGAGGAGCGAAAGCGUGGGGAGCGAACAGGAUUAGAUACCCUGGUAGUCCACGCUGUAAACGUUGGGCACUAGGUGUGGGGGCCACCCGUGGUUUCUGCGCC